rnacentral:lncRNA from 1 species
CCACCCCCAUUUCUCAUCUUUUACUUCCUCUCUCUUUCUCCUCUCUCCCUCAAGCGAUGGAGCCCUAAAAUUUUCUAUUGUUGGAUCUUACAGAUCCAUCACCUUGGAGGCUUGGAAGAGACCAAGAACACCUAGGAGGAGCUCUAGGAGAGUGAAGGCAACCCUCUCAACCCGUUUUUUCUGUGCUAGAAGGCGGAGAGGUGAGUUGGUUUCUUAGGGUUUGUUUGGAGUUUUUCCAAAUUAGGGAUUUUUGAGGUUCUAACUUUAUUAGAACUAUUUUUAUAAUUUUCUUGAGGCUCUACGAAGAUCAAGAGGAUCAUUCUUUAGAAGAGAUCUAAAAGAAAAUAAAAAAUAUCACCGAAAUGAGUUUGAUCUCCCUUUUGUCUAAAGUUUUUUUUUUUUAUUAGAUGUACGUAUUAUGAGUAAUAAGCAAACUAAAAAGUGUUUAAUUGCAUGACAGGAGAUUUAGUGGGUUAAGAUGACGUAUAAACAUUUGACAAAAUAGGGUUUUGAACCUAUUGUCUGAUGAAAGGUAAACAUAUGACACACAUGUGUAAGAAACUAUGUAAACCUUAUUGUAUAGGUGAAACAAGUGGCAUCCAACCUAGGAUGGAACCUACGAUGUCGAAGCAGUGGCAUUGAAGCUAGGUUGAAACCUAAGGCAUGAUCAUAGUGGCAUUGAACUCUAGAAUGAACUUGACAUAGAGAACAAGAAAUUGGUAAAUGUAUAAUGUGAAUAAUCCUAGAAGUCAAGAACUUAGGGUGAAAUGGUAAAAUAUGCGCAGCAUUAUGAAAAUUUCAAACUUGGAAAAUGUUGAUCUCCCUAGACUUCCAAUGUAAAGGGAGAUGUCAAUCCCCUCGACUCCUAAUGUUGUAAAGGGAGAUGCUGAUCCUCUUAACUCCCUAUCGUACUUGGUAAUACCUAUCCCUCGACACCAAGUGUCUAUCGAUUGUAGAUAUGCCGAUCUUCCUCAAUGCUCCAUGAGGUGUGUACCUACCAAUUGGAGAGAAGUCUGAUCUCUCUUGACUCUUCAUGAGGUGUGUAAUAAGAAAGAAAACCAAACUAAUAAGUUAGUAAAAGUAUAGAAAUGAAAUGAGGCAAUUGUAUAGGCUAAUGAUAUAGCAAAUCAUUGUUGUAUAUUGUAUAUAUGUUGAGACGCAAUAGUUUUAUUUCAGUUUAUUACAUUUAUAUUAUAAAAAUGGUUAAUUUUAUAAUAUAAAUGUAAUAAAUAGGAAUCUAACCUCUAUGUUGGCAUCGGUGGUAAUUUUCUCACCGAGCUUCUGCGAAAAUACUGCUUAAAAAUAUAUUAAAGCAGUUCAUGAACAAAGCAUUACAUAAAUUGUUAAUCUUUUUUUAAAAAAAAUUGGCAAGCCAAAAAACUUAUUUUAAUUCGGCAAAACUCUAGAUUUUUUAUUUGGUAUUUGUCUAGCGGCUAUUUCUAAGACUCGUAAAUGGAGAAUAUGUUGCAAAAGUCAGGUCAGUCACACCGACAAUUAGGUGGGUGAAGCAUCUACCCAGCCAUAAAUUGCUGCUCUAGUUGUGUAGAAAGUCACCUUCACGUGUCGCUGUCAAAUUCCUAACUAGUACUAGGCAAUAAUAAACUUCUAAUUAGUUGAUUAAGUUAAUGAUUGACAGCAACAACACUCGCAUAUAUUGCAUUAGUGUCCAAAUCAAUUAGACCCACUGAACACUGAUCACAUUUUCUCAGCCACAUAAACUGGAAUUCAUAAACAAUCUCAUCCCACCAUUCAUAGUUUGCCCCAAAGACCGGCGCGAAGACUGACCCAAGGCUUCAACGCCCAUCAAAGAGAAACAAAGACCUACAAGCAAUUGCAUAUAUUUCAGCUUUUGCGGUGCCGCAAAGUUGAAACUAGCUAUUGAGCCCCAGCUGAAGCUUUUGCAAGGGGAGCUGUCGACGGGGGUAUCGACG